CGAACGGGUGCGUAACACGUAAAGAACCUAUCCAUGAGCGGGGGAUAGCCUCUGGAAACGGGGGGUAAUACCGCAUACGACAUACUUAAGGCAUCUUAGGUAUGAGAAAGGAAUACUUCGGUAUUUCACUCAAGGAGGGCUUUGCGGCCUAUCAGGUAGUUGGUGGGGUAACGGCCUACCAAGCCAAAGACGGGUAGCUGGUCUGAGAGGACGACCAGCCACACUGGGACUGAGACACGGCCCAG
rnacentral:rRNA from 1 species